AACCCAUUAAACUCAGUCAACGUUGAAUUUGCAAACUAAGCAAACUAAGUUUAUUUCUUAUGUAUAUUUAUAUUAUUUAUUUUGAUGACGGAUUUAGAAUUUGUUAUUUUAGUCAGUAUUCGCAAAAUCAGUUGAUAAAACUCAGUUCAUUCAACUAUGAAAUAAACAAUAAUACAAUAACGGGAAACAUAUACACAGUUGAAAGUACAAUACGAUUUUUCACAAUUGGAUUGUUGAGGAAUUUAUGUUUUUUGAUUUUUAUAUAUCAGCAAAAAGAGGAUAAUUUUUCUAGCAAAACGUGAUUUAAAAAAAAAUAUAACGUUGUCCUUCGAUUUUCAAACAUUUUCGGCUGAAAAUGUCUUCCUGCGUCAUUAAGCAAUACAAUUUCAAAUGACAGUCACUUGUUUUUAAGGAUCAACGUCACAACCCAAAAGCGUUUUUGAUAUUUUUCGCUACUAAUACAGACAAAUGUGUUUUCUUCCUCACCUGUGUAUAACUCAUUACUAUCUUGCCGUUAUAUGUAAACGAUGUAAACAUUGUAAAUAUUGAAAAGCGAUAAUUUCGCAGCUGCAAUAAAAAACGAAAUCUGCGAAUAAAAGUGAUCCUUUUGUCUUGUCUUGAAUAAUGUUAUAUAGGUACAUCUCAAGCGUUUUUUAUUCAUAAAAAAAAGAAGAAACCCUUCAACUGCUGCCAUUCAGUAAACUACCGAAAAAGAUUGAAUUCAAGCAUCAACCGAAAAGCAUUUCCCGGUACCGUUUGGACUAUUUAAGAAAUAAAACGAUUUUAAGCAGCUGGCACUCAUGGCACUUUCUCAUAUCGACAAACGAUCAUCGGAUACCACCCAUCCAUCAAAAACAUUGAUUUGUGCCUCGAUCGACACGCAUCACAUUUGAGCAAUGGACAGAGAGCAGGAAUUAUUUGCCAUGAAUAUACGGAACACAUUUCGCCCGAUCGCAAUGAGGCGCCGAAUAUAGGCACGGGCAGGUUGAAACUUUUUGGGUUUAUGGACAUGGGUUUCAGAAGCAUAGUUGUUACAAAUGACUCUGUUUAAGUGAAGUGUAUACAAAUUAAGAAAGAAAAUUUAAUUAACGAUAGAAUAUUAACGAAUAAAAAUUUAUAUUUAUUUAAUAGAGAUUGUUUUUGAAGAGUUAGGAAUAAUAAUGUUAUAUUAUUAUUAUAGAUGAAAGAAGCAACAUCUAAGAUGAAUAAUUUAAAAACAAAAAAAAGUAAGAGCAAUUUGUGUAAUACAUUACCAACAAUCCGUCGUAUGACUGCAAGUGCGGAAAUACUUCGAGGAUUUCUGUGCCGGAUUUCUUCUCUUUUAACAACAAUUUGUAAAGUGGAAAACAGAGUUCCAUUUCUUUGCAGAUUUGGUCAGCUUCAGAAGCUGAUGCAUCCAGCACUUUGAGAAGCUGUGCGCGCCCUACGAGCUCAGUUGAAACACAUUCAAUGUGUGAUAUCUGACCUCGGUUGUACUUAUGAUGUUCUGCUGGUAGUUGGCGAAUUAUAUUUCGAAUUCGGUUACAAAUUAAUCCGGUGUGCGGUCCUUUUUCUUUGCCCCCAUUACGCCAGAAAAAGCAAGACUAAAAAUAAGUAACAGUGCGAUUCAAUAAGAUGCAUGAUUUAAUAUCUUAUCAAUAUAUGUACUUUACCUCAUCAGGUGCAGCAGCAGUUACUCGAGUGUUCAUUAACUGUGGAAACAGUUUCACUAUUUCUUAACUAGUUUAUGCUGUUGAUUCGUAGAACGAUACCUAAAAUUACAGCAUUAUGGAAUAGAAAGCAGGUUUUCGAAUGAAACCCAUGGGAUUUGACUUACUUUUGAUUUUCUUCUAUUUCUCUUUCCAUCUGUUUACAAGCAACUCUUGUAAUAAAACUUAAACCAUUUUUGUCUGGUACGAUACCUUUGUCCAAGAUAGGAAACAACAUUUUUAGAAUUUUUAGACUGAAUUUGGGAUCUUGUUCGAACGUUGCGCGAUUAUUCUGUAAUAGUGUGAACAUUCUGUUAUAUAUACCAUUUCACAAGGAAUACAGUUGAUUAGCUGAUAUUUAUGUUGCUAUGGAUAAACAGUGUGCAUUGCUUCAUGUCAAAACAUUGUUCAAAAAGUUAGUCUGCUCUGAACGUCUCGUGAAAUAGUCUAAAUGGAAUUUUCUUGUAGUUACUAUUUGUUAUUCAUUACAAAUAAUAGAAAAAAUCGGCAUCCGUGAGCAACACUAAAUUUUUAUCAUUUAUCUUCUGUGCUGAAAAUAAAAUUAAUUAUGAGGAAAAAAAUUAACUGUGGAAAAAAGUUGUUGGUAGUGUAAACCUUUUGUAGAGUUUUUGAAUUGAUAAUAUGGAUUAUGGGUAUUAAUCUACCAUUCUAAUAAUCCACAUACUUCAAACUUAUAUAGCAAUAUUCCUGGCUAUAACCGUAUAAGUUCCACAAACUGUACGUUUUUCUGGUGAGUAAACUUUCAUAAGGUAUACGAAUGAUUUUGUCGCUAACUUUCAAUUUGUAGCUGUUGUACUGGGCGCAAUACUCCUCCCAUUCAAAACAUUGGACCAGACAAACCAUUUGAUCUUUAGAUUUUAAUAUAUGUUUGAUUAAACCAUAUCGUAAUUCAUCUGAUAUUUUAUAUUUAGUAACUAGUCCUGGUCGAAAAUGUGUAUUAUUUAUUUUCAUGUGAGUUAUAUGAAUUACUGGUGCUGAUAAAUCUGAUAACAAACUUUCAUAAUUGAGCGAGCUUCUGUCUAUGGUGUUCGACGAUAUCAUUUCAACUGAGUCUGUUCUGUAGGAAUGUUUUAGUAUAUUCGAAACUUGUGUCAGGUUUAAACGGUUAGUAAUACUAUGUGUUUAAUUUAUGAAGUUAUUGCAUGUUUUUGCUUGAGACUUGGACUCCUUAAAUUUCGCUUCGAACCGUAAACAGCUAUGAUUCACCACUGGUCCAUCUUGACGAAUUAUGUAUGGAUAAUGGCAAAUAUGAUGAAAUUUAUUAGUUGGGUGAAUGUCUGGCAAACACAAUUUGAAAAGCUCAUAAAAUGUUUUUAUUUGGCCUUCUAGAUCAUCUACUUCAUCUAACGUUAGUUUGUUGGAAAACGAAUAGUAAGUUAUUUUUAAUAAACAGCCGAUACAUUUA